UACGGAGGGGACUAGCGUUGUUCGGAAUUACUGGGCGUAAAGCGCACGUAGGCGGAUUUGUAAGUCAGGGGUGAAAUCCCGAGGCUCAACCUCGGAACUGCCUUUGAUACUGCAAAUCUCGGGUCCGGAAGAGGUGAGUGGAAUUCCUAGUGUAGAGGUGAAAUUCGUAGAUAUUAGGAAGAACACCAGUGGCGAAGGCGGCUCACUGGUCCGGUACUGACGCUGAGGUGCGAAAGCGUGGGGAGCAAACAGG
rnacentral:rRNA from 1 species